AUACGGAGGAUCCGAGCGUUAUCCGGAUUUAUUGGGUUUAAAGGGUGCGCAGGCGGCCAUUUAAGUCAGCGGUUAAAUCGUGGGGCUCAACCCCAUUCUGCCGUUGAUACUGGGUGGCUUGAUUGCGGUCGAGGUUGGCGGAAUUCGUUGUGUAGCGGUGAAAUGCAUAGAUAUGACGAAGAACACCGAUUGCGUAGGCAGCUGACCAGACCGCAAAUGACGCUCAUGCACGAAAGUGCGGGGAUCGAACAGGAUUAGAUACCCUGGUAGUCCGCACAGUAAACGAUGAAUACUCGCUGUUUGCGAUAUACAGUAAGCGGCCAAGCGAAAGCAUUAAGUAUUCCACCUGGGGAGUACGCCGGCAACGGUGAAACUCAAAGGAAUUGACGGG
rnacentral:rRNA from 1 species